AAGCUGCGCUCGUCUCUAGGCAGGGGAGCUCCGUGUCGCACCGGGUUCUUGGGCCGGCCGUGUCCUCCUCCCUCGGUCGCCACUGGCCCAUGAGUCCCCAUGGCGACGGCAGGGGCCAGGCCCGGGGGCGGGCAGUCCGAGUGGGGCUGCGGCGCUCCGGAGGCAUCCGCGGCGGCGUGGCGGUGUUCGCCGCCGUGGCCGCAGUGUUCACCUUCACCCUGCCCCCUUCGGUACCGGGGGGAGACUCCGGGGAACUGAUCACAGCUGCACAUGAGCUUGGAGUUGCCCAUCCUCCUGGAUAUCCUUUGUUCACGCUGGUGGCUAAACUGGCAAUUACACUGUUUCCUUUUGGUUCAAUUGCCUACCGCGUCAAUCUUCUUUGUGGCUUAUUUGGAGCAGUAGCUGCAUCAUUACUUUUUUUCACCGUUUUCAGAUGAAUAGUAUUCCAUCAGUGAGAAAACUACUAUGCAAUCAGUACCUUUCUUAGGAAUCUUAUCUGGGUCUCAUGAAUUUUGUGGACCAAAAAAAGAAGACAGUUAUGUU
rnacentral:sRNA from 1 species